rnacentral:piRNA from 1 species
UGAAAGAUGAUGCCUUUGACAGGUGUUUUA